rnacentral:rRNA from 1 species
GUAGGUGGCAAGCGUUGUCCGGAAUUAUUGGGCGUAAAGCGCGCGCAGGCGGUUCUUUAAGUCUGAUGUGAAAGCCCACGGCUCAACCGUGGAGGGUCAUUGGAAACUGGAGAACUUGAGUACAGAAGAGGAAAGCGGAAUUCCACGUGUAGCGGUGAAAUGCGUGGAGAUGUGGAGGAACACCAGUGGCGAAGGCGGCUUUCUGGUCUGUAACUGACGCUGAGGCGCGAAGGCGUGGGGAGCAAACAGGAUUAGAUACCCUGGUAGUCCACGCCGUAAACGAUGAGUGCUAAGUGUUAGGGGGGUUUCCGCCCCCCUUAGUGCUGCAGCUAACGCAUUAAGCACUCCGCCUGGGAGUACGGCCGCAAGGCUG